UACGUAGGGUGCAAGCGUUGUCCGGAAUUAUUGGGCGUAAAGAGCUCGUAGGCGGUCUGUCGCGUCUGCUGUGAAAACUCAGGGCUUAACCCUGAGCUUGCAGUGGGUACGGGCAGACUAGAGUGCGGUAGGGGAGACUGGAAUUCCGUGGUGUAGCGGUGAAAUGCGCAGAUAUCAGGAGGAACACCGGGUGGCCGAAGG
rnacentral:rRNA from 1 species